rnacentral:rRNA from 1 species
GGGCCCGCACAAGCGGUGGAGUAUGUGGUUUAAUUCGAUGCAACGCGAAGAACCUUACCAGGGCUUAAAUGGGAGAUGACAGGGGCAGAGACGCCCUUUUCUUCGGACAUCUUUCAAGGUGCUGCAUGGUUGUCGUCAGCUCGUGCCGUGAGGUGUCAGGUUAAGUCCUAUAACGAGCGCAACCCCUACCGUUAGUUGCCAGCGAUUCAAGUCGGGGACUCUAACGGGACUGCCGGUGCAAACCGUGAGGAAGGUGGGGACGACGUCAAAUCAUCACGGCCCUUACGUCCUGGGCUACACACGUGCUACAAUGGUCGGUACAGAGGGAAGCUACCCCGUAAGGGGAUGCGGAUCUAUAAAACCGAUCUCAGUUCGGAUCGGGGUCUGCAACUCGACCCCGUGAAGCUGGAAUCGCUAGUAAUCGGAUAUC